rnacentral:snoRNA from 1 species
AACCCAUGGUAAUGACAUCUUCUCAAUAAGUCCUUGUAUCUCUCCCAUGCAUCAUAAAGUGUUUCUAAAUCCAUCUGCACAAAAGAAGAGAUAUCAUUCCUUAAUUU